ACGCUCGACACCUACGGAGCAGCAGUGAGGAAUAUUGGUCAAUGGGCGCAGGCCUGAACCAGCCAAGUAGCGUGAAGGAUGACUGCCCUAUGGGUUGUAAACUUCUUUUAUAUGGGAAUAAAGUUUUCCACGUGUGGAAUUUUGUAUGUACCAUAUGAAUAAGGAUCGGCUAACUCCGUGCCAGCAGCCGCGGUAAUCUGAGCGGGCUGGCAAGGC
rnacentral:rRNA from 1 species